UUGAAAGGGAAACGAUUGAAGUCAGUCGUACCGACGGAAAAUCAGCUCUUCGAGUGCGGACUUGUGGGCGUACGUGAGCUUCAACCGGUCUCGUUGUUUGCUUGUUUGUGCUUUUUGGGUGUACUUUUUCGUAUGGUAGGCCAACGUCAGUUUUGAUCACCAUAAAAUGAUCGGAGGAAUGUAGCUUCGAUCUUGUAUUGAAGUGUUAUAGCCUUUGGUAGAUGUGGUGACUGAGACUGAGGAUUGCAACGAAUACCCUUUGGGCUAUCCGUCUGACCUCUGAAAGUUGCUUAGGUGCCGAAAGCUUGCUUACGGUCAUCUAUGACGACGGUCAAAAGGUUAGAACGUGAUUAUAUUCGUUAAGGAUGUUGACGUA
rnacentral:rRNA from 1 species